CAUACCUAAUUAUCAUUUAAUAUCUAUUUCAAAUUUCGAUAUCGAAAAGAUUACAUGUAUAUAUGAGACGAAACCCGUCAAUUUACUUUAGUUCCGCACUCCACCACCAGAUGGCAGUGCCUCAUCUUUUGUUGCCCAUCUUAUAUACAGAGCUUUCAUUUCUCUUAGUAUAUGUUCUGUGGUCUGGUAAUUCGCGACCACGACAUUGGUAUCUCGUCGUGACGUAGCCUAUUCUCCAGAACGUGGUGAUUUUCGGCCGCUCGAGGCUCCUCCGUCUCAUUUCACUUUGCGUUACCGGCAAAUCACCGUUAAACCUGGCUACGUAAUACGUGUUUAUUACUUGGCCGGAUUUCUUUAUUACGGUAGAGUAAGUAGCAACUUCAAACUGCUGUCUCGCUGUCCGUGCUGUUAUGCGUGAAAGCGUGCGUGUCUAACUUUCAUCCUUCCUUCCUUCCUUCCUCGUGGCCUCAUCGAGGUCGUUCUCGCCUCGUACCGUACUUCUCUCGCCGUUUCGCGUUUCCAUCUGUGCUCUUCUUCUUUCCCGUCGCGACAACGUGCGGAUGUUGGUCCCCGACGCGAGAGGUUAGCGAUCUCGUGACGUGUCAAGUUAACGCUCCAUUCCAUAUGGUGGUCGCUGUCUCAGCCAUUGGUCAUUGACGUGCAUCUAGCGUAUAUCUGUUUGCCGAUCCCUUGGCCGCGACAUUCGCUCGAGCCACGAAAUUCCGUCGGCUUCGGGGAAAAAACAUUUCCACCAGCUACGAAUUCCUCGCGGCGUGACUCGUGUGUGAUUCGUCCCUUUUCGCGACAUUUGAGAUCACUUUAAAAGAAUUUGUUCCGUGUACGAGUCAAAUGAAAAAAAAAUUAAAAAAAAUUUAUUGCGAAAUCCUAUCUCGAUUUGAUCAAUCUCUUAAAAAAAUAUUCGAACGCAUCUCCUCGCGAUUAUACGCGAUUAUCUGAGAAAAGCUAUAUUUGAUAUAACUUGGCGACGUCUCGUCAGUGAUAAUUUAUCGUUUUCUUGUUCAUCGCAAAA